ACGCUCUCUUUCCUUGUCGCAGAGCACUGACCAAGGCAAACACAAGACCCCUGGUCGCAGAGCCCUGACCAAGGCAAGCACAGACCGGUGCACUGACCUUCUUGACAACAAAGUCUCCAGGGCAACGGCCGGAUUGCAGCAGCCCACCUGAAACAGAGCGAUCUUCUGGAAGGUGGCCAGGUUGAUGUCCACAGCGAUGGCCAUUCUCAUCACCAGGGGCAUCUUAUCCAGCAGCUCGGACUCAUCUGGGGGACGAUAGAGGUGUAAGAGAUUGUAGCAUCCGAACAAACCUGUCCAAUCAGACUGGAGAACACGAAGACGCCCACGAAGAAGUUACACAGCUGGAAGGUGAUCUCGAAGACCGUCUGCGGCACCGGGAGCCCCCC